AAAUAUUGGCUGUAAAUGCCAAGAAAAUACUGCUGAGUAAAGCAUCACUGUGCAAGAACACACAUGCAUCUGCAAAACACCACUUGAACAACCAGUCUGCAAGACAGGAAGUUGUUGGAUAGUUCAUGACGCAUUAGGAGCUCAAGAGGAAACUGGGAGAGAAAGACUGGAGGGGGUGUUGGGCAGAAGAAGAAACUGAUAGCAAGGCCAUGGAAAAUUACGGGUUCAGAAAAGCUUCAGAUAUGUCAUUGAUCCAUGCCAAACUCCAAACCUUUUGAAAGUGUCUUUCUUACUGAAAAGUCAUCAGAUUAAGACUUAAAUUGAAGAAGGAUGUUUCUGUGAGUUAAAGAAUU